rnacentral:tRNA from 1 species
GCCCGGAUGGUGGAAUUGGUAGACACGCAGGACUUAAAAUCCUGUGACCCUUAAAGGUCGUGCGGGUUCAAGUCCCGCUCCGGGUACAA